rnacentral:rRNA from 1 species
GUAGGGAAUAUUGCGCAAUGGACGAAAGUCUGACGCAGCGACGCCGCGUGAGUGAUGAAGGCCUUAGGGUCGUAAAGCUCUGUUGAAUGGGAAGAAAAAAAUGACGGUACCAUUCGAGGAAGGACCGGCUAACUUCGUGCCAGCAGCCGCGGUAAUACGAGGGGUCCUAGCGUUGUUCGGAAUCAUUGGGCGUAAAGGGUGUGUAGGUGGCCAUGUAAGUCAGGUGUGAAAGCCCCGGGCUCAACCCGGGAAGUGCACUUGAUACUGCGUGGCUUGAGUACCGAAGAGGGUAGUGGAAUUCCAGGUGUAGUGGUGAAAUACGUAGAUAUCUGGAGGAACACCGGUGGCGAAGGCGGCUACCUGGUCGAGUACUGACACUGAGAUACGAAAGCAUGGGGAUCAAACAGGAUUAGAUACCCCAGUAGUCC